AAAUAAACCUGAUAGUAGUGGUAUUUCGCUUUACUAAACCUUAAUUUAGCACGAACAUUAACGAAAUUUAACGGAUAGCAGGACUAUCA
rnacentral:ncRNA from 2 species